rnacentral:tRNA from 1 species
AGCAGCAUGGCUUAGUGGAAAGAGCCUGGGCUUGGGAGCCAGAGAAAGUGGGUUCUAAUCCCAGCUCUGCCA